AAGUCAGUAAAUCUAUUCCCAUUGUUGC
rnacentral:sRNA from 1 species